rnacentral:rRNA from 1 species
UACGGGGGUGCAAGGCGUUAAUCGGAAUUACUGGGCGUAAAGGGUGCGUAGGUGGUUUAGGUUAAGAUAUCUGUGAAAUCCCCGGGCUUAACCCUGGGCAGGUCAGAUAUAACUGCUGAACUCGAGUAUAGGAGAGGGUAGUGGAAUUUCCGGUGUAGCUGGUGAAAUGCGUAGAGAUCGGAAGGAACACCAGUGGCGAAGGCGGCUACCGUGGAC